UCAGGGCAGAGGAGAUUCUACCUCCCCCAUGCUCCAGGGGCAGAGCUGAUGGACAGGAAAGGAGAACUCACACCAUCCUUGGAACUCGGCAGUUCUUUAUUGAUUGCAUGUCCCUGUGCUUCCUGUGAGGUAUUAGGACACUUGGGCCCCUCUCCACUACUGCUGGGCAACAGGGCAGCUCCACUUGCAGGCAGCCAGGCAGCUGCUGGGUAGAGGAGUCUCCUGGGAUGAUCCUGCCACUCAUCAGUACAAACGGAUUUGAAGCAUGGGAUGAAGAAGGGGCUGGAGUCUCCAUGGGGCUCUUUGCCCAAGGGCCACAAGUUCUCUGGCAAGCACAAUGGCACAGGUGAGCCAUUCCCAGAAAAGGGUCCCUCAGCACCCCCCAUCCUUCCUUCUCCUUCAAAACUGGGGCAGCUCUCAGUCCAUGGGCCACAACUCCAAACACUGUCAUGUCGAGGUUGCCAUGGGACACUGUCAGACUUACCAGACCAGACCUGCUGAUGUCACCGCCUAGUGUUCCGAGCCCUGCAACUGCCACUGCAACUGACUCACCAGUCAGAGAGCAGUAACAGGCAGAAGCUGCAAGCAAAAGAUUGCUGUAAGCAGCAAUGGAUCCUCCUCCCCAGAAGAAGCAGAGGCUGAUGGGGAGGAGAUCCAAAGAAGAGCCAAUGGAGAUAGAUGAGGAACCCUUGGAGCCAAUGGAGGUGGAUGAACCUCCAACUGAAGAUGAGAUGAUGGAGGUGGAUCCACCUCUAGAAGAACAACCCAUGGAAGUGGAUCCACCUUCACCAGGGCCCAGGAGACAGCGCCCAAGAAGACUCAGGGACGCUCUUAGAAAAUGGCGUGAGAAGUCCCGGAAGAAGUCCAGGAGUUGGAGAAAGUAGGAGUCCUGCCAGAAAGGUUGAAUCCCACCUCAACUCCUAUGGAUGGAAGUGCAAGCUGACAGCUCAGUAUCUAUCAACAGAAUGCACCCUGAUCUCUGAAGAGGAUGGUCCCGAAACACCAUGAACCAUUCUCUCCUACUCCUACACCCUUUUUGGACUGUUUUUAUUUUGUCUCAGUUAGGAAUAAUAGAA